rnacentral:miRNA from 1 species
AAGACUGGCCGGAUCCUUGG